GGGGCUGUAGCUCAGCUGGUUAGAGCGCGUCACUGAUAAUGACGAGGUCGGUGGUUCAAGUCCUCCCAGCCCCACCA
rnacentral:tRNA from 1 species